rnacentral:rRNA from 1 species
CGCGAAUGGCUCAUUAUAACAGCUAUAAUUUACUUGAUCUUGACACAAUCCUACUUGGAUAACUGUGGUAAUUCUAGAGCUAAUACAUGCAUUAAAGCUCUGACCUCACGGGAAGAGUGCAUUUAUUAGAACAAAACCAAGCGGCUUCGGCUGUUUCUGGUUGACUCAUAGUAACUGAGCUGAUCGCAUGGUCCUGCACCGGCGACGUGUCCUUCAAGUAUCUGCCGUAUCAACUUUCGAUGGUAGUGUAUCUGGCUACCAUGGUGAUCACGCGUAACGGAAAAUAAGGGUUCGGCUCCGGAGAGUUCGCCUGAGAAAUCGCGAACACAUCUAAGGAAGGCAGCAGGCGCGAAAAUUACCCACUCUCAGCACGAGGAGGUAGUGACGAAAAAUAACGAGACCGUUCUCUUAUGAGGCCGGUCAUCGGAAUGGGUACAAUUUAAACCCUUUAACGAGUAUCUAUAAGAGGGCAAGUCUGGUGCCAGCAGCCGCGGUAAUUCCA